AGUGAACGCUGGCGGUAGGCCUAACACAUGCAAGUCGAACGGCAGCACAGUAAGAGCUUGCUCUUACGGGUGGCGAGUGGCGGACGGGUGAGGAAUACAUCGGAAUCUACUUUUUCGUGGGGGAUAACGUAGGGAAACUUACGCUAAUACCGCAUACGACCUACGGGUGAAAGCAGGGGGUCUUCGGACCUUGCGCGAUUGAAUGAGCCGAUGUCGGAUUAGCUAGUUGGCGGGGUAAAGGCCCACCAAGGCGACGAUCCGUAGCUGGUCUGAGAGGAUGCUCAGCCACACUGGAACUGAGACACGGUCCAGACUCCUACGGUAGGCAGCAGUGUGGAAUAUUGGACAAUGGGCGCAAGCCUGAUCCAGCCAUACCGCGUGGGUGACGAAGGCCUUCCGGUUGUAAAGCCCUUUUGUUGGGAAAGAAAAGCAGCAGGUUAAUACCCCGCUGUUCUGACGGUACCCAAAGAAUAAGCACCGGCUAACUUCGUG
rnacentral:rRNA from 1 species